CCUACGGGAGGCUGCAGUGGGGAAUAUUGGACAAUGGGGGCAACCCUGAUCCAGCGACGCCGCGUGUGUGAAGAAGGCCUGCGGGUUGUAAAGCACUUUUAGUGGGGAGGAAGAUCCCGGGGCCAAUACCCCCGGGUGAUGACUUAACCCACAGAAAAAGCACCGGCUAACUCUGUGCCAGCAGCCGCGGUAAUACAGAGGGUGCGAGCGUUAAUCGGAAUUACUGGGCGUAAAGCGUGCGUAGGCGGUUUCGUAAGUCGGAUGUGAAAGCCCCGGGCUCAACCUGGGAAUGGCAUUCGAGACUGCGCAGCUCGAGUGCGGAAGAGGGAAGUGGAAUUUCCGGUGUAGCGGUGAAAUGCGUAGAUAUCGGAAGGAACACCAGUGGCGAAAGCGACUUCCUGGUCCAGCACUGACGCUCAGGCACGAAAGCGUGGGGAGCA
rnacentral:rRNA from 1 species